rnacentral:rRNA from 1 species
CCUCCGAGCGGCAGCAGUGAGGAAUAUUGGUCAAUGGGCGGCAGCCUGAACCAGCCAAGUAGCGUGCAGGAUGAAGUCCCUACGGGUCGUAAACCGCUUUUGCACAUGGAUACCACCCUCCACUUGUGGACGUCUGCAGGUACCGUUCGAAUAAGGGCCGGCUAAUUCCGUGCCAGCAGCCGCGGUAAUACGGAGGACCCGAGCGUUAUCCGGAUUCAUUGGGCUUAAAGGGAGCGUAGGCGGGCGUGCAAGACAGCUGUAAAAUCGCGCGGCUCAACCGCGCACCGCAGUUGAAACUGGACGUCUUGAGUUCACAACAGGCAGGCGGAAUUCGUGGUGUAGCGGUGAAAUGCAUAGAUAUCACGAGGAACCCCGAUUGCGAAGGCAGCCCGCCGGGGUGCGACUGACGCUGAGGCUCGAAGGUGCGGGUAUCAAACAGGAUUAGAUACCCGAGUAGUC